rnacentral:rRNA from 1 species
UACGUAGGGGGCUAGCGUUGUCCGGAAUCAUUGGGCGUAAAGCGCGUGUAGGCGGCCCGGUAAGUCCGCUGUGAAAGUCGGGGGCUCAACCCUCGGAUGCCGGUGGAUACUGUCGGGCUUGAGUACGGAAGAGGCGAGUGGAAUUCCUGGUGUAGCGGUGAAAUGCGCAGAUAUCAGGAGGAACACCAAUGCGAAGGCAGCUCGCUGGGACGUUACUGACGCUGAGACGCGAAAGCGUGGGGAGCAAACAGG